rnacentral:rRNA from 1 species
UGGGGAAUUUUGGACAAUGGGGGAAACCCUGAUCCAGCCAUCCCGCGUGUGCGAUGAAGGCCUUCGGGUUGUAAAGCACUUUUGGCAGGAAAGAAACGUCGCGGGUUAAUACCCCGCGAAACUGACGGUACCUGCAGAAUAAGCACCGGCUAACUACGUGCCAGCAGCCGCGGUAAUACGUAGGGUGCAAGCGUUAAUCGGAAUUACUGGGCGUAAAGCGUGCGCAGGCGGUUCGGAAAGAAAGAUGUGAAAUCCCAGAGCUUAACUUUGGAACUGCAUUUUUAACUACCGGGCUAGAGUGUGUCAGAGGGAGGUGGAAUUCCGCGUGUAGCAGUGAAAUGCGUAGAUAUGCGGAGGAACACCGAUGGCGAAGGCAGCCUCCUGGGAUAACACUGACGCUCAUGCACGAAAGCGUGGGGAGCAAACAGGAUUAGAUACCCUGGUAGUCCACGCCCUAAACGAUGUCAACUAGCUGUUGGGGCCUUCGGGCCUUGGUAGCGCAGCUAACGCGUGAAGUUGACCGCCUGGGGAGUACGGUCGCAAGAUUAAAACUUAAAUGAAUUGACGGGGUCAUAGCU